AGACCGCUUUAGAUGUUUAUUUCUUAGUUGCAUACCCUUCGAUAUAUCAUCUUUUGUAUUUUGAUGAUUAUAGUUAUUAAAAGAAAGGAUAAGAAUGAUGUAAAAUAGUUUAUUUAAUAUUAAUGUUAUAUUUUGAAGGAAUGAGAUGUAAAAAGAAAUGAUGAAAAAUUGUAAUUGAUUUCCUAAGUGUAGUUAUUUACUUUCACUAUUGGCUAUUGCUUGCCCUCGUGCAAGCCAUUGUGUAUGCUUCCGCUUAUGCAACCUUUAUACUCUAUUUAUACUUGUUGUUAAGCCUUGGGCAGACAGGGGAGACUCUGUCCGUUCGGCGUCUGUUUGAUGCUCCCGAACCGGCCAAAAGGAUCAGGCUCGAGGUGUGACACGUGAGAUGGUGGCGAACCUUCGGGCUAGCCGAGUGAUUGGGUGAUUUAAUGAAUUACUUCAUUAUUGAGCAUGAUAGCUUGGUAGUUAGCCUUUACUUAUGUUGCAUGCAUGAUUGUGGAUUGAGGCAUAGUAGAAUACUUGCAUUUUCUUUACUAUCUUAUCGCUUUCAAGUUAUCUAUCUAUAUCUGCCUAUGACUGCUUAGACCUAGUGGGGAGAUCGGCGGAGUCGGCAGCCGAACCCACUGGGAACUAUGGACAAUAGUUCUCACCCCACUUUGUUGCAGGGCCGAGCUCGAGUACACCCAGCGAGGAUCGCGGUAAGGGCUUAGCGCCCUAGAAGUUGUAGAUGCUUCCCAUUGCAUUAGUAGUUACCUUGUAUAUACAUGAGAGUAGAUGAUGUAUAGGUGUGAGAUAUUUUGGAAGGUUGUAAAUCUUAUGUUUAUAUUUAGAAGUUUAAAUGUAAUCAGAUCUAUUAAAGUUGAAUGUUUGUAAUAGAUAAGUAUCUCUCUUUCAUUCACUUGUAUAUACUUUACUUGUGAUGCUUGCUCUUGGUUGUUUAGCACUAUUUGUGCUCUCGUUGCUGUUGUAGGAUCGUGUAUGUAUUCAAGUGAUUUCCUGGGAACUUAUUGUACAUGAUCUCGUGUUUAGCCUUGGGCGGACAGGGGAGGUCCUGUCCGUUCGGCGUCUGUUCGACGCGCAUGAACUGGACCAAAUUGGUAGCGGGUCUCAGGGCGUGACAGAUAAAGUGGUAUCAGAGAGAGUUAAGAGCAAGCAAAGAGAGAGUCUAGGGCCGACCUAGGAGACUUUAGGACGGUGAACCUUAAGGAUAUAGGUGCAUAAGUGCAACGUGAACUUAUAGCGGCGGCGGAAGUUGAUUGAUUGGGUCGAAGUUGGUGUUAAGUCUCUAGAAGUUGCUAGAGAUGGAUCCAAGUAGUACUGGUUCUUGGCUUGAGGUGGUUGUGUCGGCGGCCGACGACACGACGCUAAGAGUCCGGGAUGAGUACGCUUGUGUGUUUCCGCCCGAUUCUAAUAUUGAGUCAUGUUAUUUCGUAAUUGCGGCGAUGUUAGUGGGUUAAGUAAUUAACCAAAUGUUUGCGUUUCAGGAGCUAAUGGCACCGAAGAGACGCUAUGUUCGUAGGUUUGUUCCGGCACCCCCUCCCGAGGUGCCAGAGCAAGCGACGCCUCCUGUGGCGCCAGAGCCAGCUGGGCCUAGCGAGGUGCAGGAGUUACGAGCGCAAAUGACUGCAUUAACUAGUCGGUUUGAUCGGGUCCAGGAGCUAUUGGAGCGACAAGUGGCGGCGGCGGUCGCGACGGCAACGGAAGGCCAUGAUCCGCCCGCACCCUCAGCUCGCGCCCCUAAUGCGGCUGAGGGUGAGGGCAUCGCAGUGGUACCGGUGGCGGCACGUCCCCCGCCGGCGAGUGUUCCUCCUGCGGCAUCGGGUUUUGUUUCGCUCGAUGCGGCGACUGAGGAGGCGGAGCGGGAGCGUGGUUACACGGCUCUCACGAGGUUUAUGAAGUUUCACCCUCCCACGUUCGACGGUGAAGUGAUUGAUCCCUGAACAGUAGAGACAUGGUUGGCCGCAAUGGAAACUCUGUUCAAGGACAUCUACACUCGGGAACAAGAUAAGGUGCAGUUGGCAGCGCAUUGCUUCGAUAAGCGGGCCAGAGUGUGGUGGAGGAGGGUGAAGCAAGACCGAUCUUCGGAUCUUCCCCCGAUCGAUUGGGAGGAGUUCUGAGGACUGAUGUUUGCGGAGUACUUUCCCGAUAGUGAAAAGAGAAAGAUGCGGGAAGACUUUAGGAAGCUUAAGCAGGGUAAUCGCACAGUUCGGGAAUAUGAGCGGGAGUUCACUCAUCUCCUAAAUUGUGUCCUGGACGUAGCGAGGACUGAGCAAGACCGGGCGGAGUGCUUCGUGAGGGGACUUCGACCCGAAGUAUUCCGAUUGGUGCACGUUUCAAGUUUCGCACCUUUGCGGAAGUAUUGGACCGUGCCUUAUGGGUUGAGCACGGGAAUGCUUGCGAGCGAGAGGAGCGAGAUGCGUUCGAUAAGGAAAAAGAAAAGAAACGACCGGACGGUGGUUCGGGGGGACAGUCGAGUUCUAGGAGGCCCCCGAAGCAUUCGCGGACGCAGUCGUGGGGUCGCGGGCCGCAACGGUGCAUCUUUUGUGGCGAAAACCAUCGCGCUGGGGUGUGCGAGCAGCGUCGUGGGAGGUGCUUCAAUUGUGGGCAAGCGGGGCACCUCAUAUGCGAAUGUCCCGCUGGAGGGGCUUUACCUGCCCCGUCUAUUGCAUCGGCCCCUGCGAUUCCUACCCGUUAUGGAUCUCCACCUGCUACGACAUCUGCUGGACGCGCCAUGGCGCCGAAUCAGCCAGGAGCAACACGAUCGGCUCCGAGCGGACGGGUGUUCGCCGCUCAAGUCGAGGAACCUGCUGGAGUGGAGGAGCAUGAGACCGUGGCAGGUAUGGUUUAAUUAACGGAGUUCGCUCCAGGGCUAUGUUGGAUACAGGUGCCACAUAUUCAUUCAUCAGUAGAUCAUUUGUACGAAUGCAUGACAUAAAGAUUCGGGCAAGUGAUGGCAUGUAGCGAGUAGAGGGCCCUGGGUCGGCGCUUCAUAUUUAGACGGAGUGCUCGGCGUGUCCCAUUCAGAUUGGCGACUGGAUAAUGCCGAUCCGAUUAUUGGUGCUUAAGAAGAUGAAGGACUUCGAUGUUAUAUUGGGCAUGGACUGGUUCUCGAAGUAUUAUGUGUCCAUCGACUGCAAGAGCAAAGUGAUCACAUUUCGGGAGCCGAGACAGAAGGAAUUUACUUAUCGAGCUUGCAAGAGCUCGUGCUUCGCCGCGACAGUGUCGGCGAUAAGGGCGAGGAAGUUGGUCAACAGCGGUUGCGCGGCUUAUUUGGCAACCGUUGUGGAAGUUGAUCGGGUGGCUCCGACUCUUGAGGAGUUGUCGGUGGUGCGGGAGUUUCCGGAUGUAUUUCCCGCGGAGUUACCGGGGAUGCCGCCGGACCGGGACAUCGAGUUCGUGAUAGACUUGGAUCCCGGGACCGCGCCGAUCUCGAAGGCUCCGUACCGCAUGGCGCCGGCUGAGUUGAGGGAGUUGAGAGAUCAGCUACAGGAUCUUCAUGACAAAGAGCUCUCCAACAAGAAGGGGCUUGCUAGAACUUGGGCUAAGGUGAGUUUCUAGCAUGGGGAACUCUAGGGUUUGGAUUUUAACUCAAAGUUUUGGGAUUUUGAGUUGUUUCUAAGCUUGAAAACCUUGUAAAGCUAAGAAACCAUGAAAUCCAUGGUUUUCUUAUAAAGCUCUCAUGGUGCAUUUCUCGGGCUCAAAGUAGAUGCCCUAUGGUUGGUUCAAGAGGCUUGGAAACUUUAUUAGAAUGCUUCUUAGAUGAUUCUAAGCUAUCUUUUGCUUAGGGAUGAUGUCACGCCCCGCCCCGAAACCACUACCAAUUUGGCACGAUUCGGCCGCGGCGACGGACCGCCGAACGGAUAGCACCUCCCCUGCCCGCCCAAGGCUCAACAACAGGAAUGUGUACCAGAAUUUACCCAGGACUUUAAAUUCUAAACAUACACAUUCAACAAGGGCACAAACAGUGCUAAUAAUAAGNGAAACCACUACCAAUUUGGCACGAUUCGGCUGCGGCGACGGACCGCCGAACGGAUAGCACCUCCCCUGCCCGCCCAAGGCUCAACAACAGGAAUGUGUACCAGAAUUUACCCAGGACUUUAAAUUCUAAACAUACACAUUCAACAAGGGCACAAACAGUGCUAAUAAUAAGAAGAGCGAGUAAUCUACAAGAUAUACGAGUGAAAUAAAGAGAGUACUUUACUAACUAUUACAAUAGUUGCAUUCUUUACAUCAUUUUUCAUCCAAAAUACAUAGCUCUCCAAAUCCUCACCUACAAUAAAUCUCUCUCUAUACAUAGGUGACUAAUGCAAAAAGAAAAGCUACUAUACUACUACGGUCUCACUGGUCGGGCGCGACGCCCUUGCCGCGGUCCUCUCUCUGCAGCCCUGAACCUACCAUUGGAAAUAGAGUGGGGUGAGAACUAUCUUCCAUAGUUCCCAGUGGGCUCGGCCGCCGACUCUGCCGAUCUCCCCACUAGGUCCAAGUGGGCACAAGUAACAACAGAUAGAUAGAUAGAUAGAUGUGUAUCUGAAAGCUGUAAAUGCAACAGUAGGAAAACUAUGCUACUAUGCCCAUAAUCAUAAGUAUGAAUGCAUGCAUCAUAUAAUAAAGGUUUGCUAUCAUGCUAACAAAUUCGAUCCAUGUUCGAAUAGCAAUGUUCAAUGACAUUAAUAACCUUUCCAUUUACCCAAUCUGUGGCGAGGCCCUAGGGUUCGCCCAUGACUCACCUUUCGAUCCCAAAGUGGGGAGGGAGCUCCAAGUGCACCCAAGUCCGGGACCGUCUGCGGACCUCCAUGUGGUCCGGACCUCCAAGUGGUCCUAGUCGCGCGACACUCCGAAGUACUCGACGACAAUCCCCUCCAUGUGGGGAUUGGAUGGCUAUGCCACCCUAAACGCAGACUGUGAGCUAGAUCUAUCCUCUCCAUGUGAGGAUACACUGUAACUAGGGUCAAUACCCAAUCCAAUCCUCUCCAAGUGAGGAGGCUCUACAACCAGAGUCAAUAACCCAAUCAAAUCCUCUCCAAGUGAGCACGCCCUAUACUAGGGUCAACGACUAUCGCGGAAUCAUCGGUUCCCGACAUUCAUGCAAUGCUAUUUAGUUUUCUAAAUUCAUUGUUCACAAGGCAUUUUCUAAGGGAUCCACCUAUCCCUAUGUCCGUCGACCUCUAGUGUUAUUUACACUACAUUAAUGCCACCAGUCAUUAUUUAUCGUUCGGAUGCCACUCGUGUUCUUUAACACUAUCCACUACUUCCUAUGUCAUCAAUACCCCCAUCGGGUUCAUCUCUUUUCUUUCGCACCAUAGGAUUCACGUCUCGACCCAAUCCUCACCUAUCUAAAUUACCAAGCGUUCCAAGUACACUAGGUUAUCAAUUAGAAAGCAUAAGGAGUGGAGCUAUUAUGCAAUCCUACAAUGCAACAUGAAGAGAUGAGAUUAAAUGCAAUCUAAGACAUAGAAAGGAGCUUGAAAGUUUCGGAUGACACCCCCCACUUUUAAUCGAUGUAGAGGUUUGGAAAAAUCCUUCUCGGCGAGCUCUACGAAAAGGCUUUAGCCUUCCUCGCCCGAAUCAACAUUAGCCCGGCACGAUUUUGCCGAGAACUUCACGUCGGUUCGCCGAAUGCCGAAAUCAACUUCGGCCCCGCGUUUUGUGACCUAUCAAUAGGGUUUCCAAGGCUUCAAAUGAGAUCAAUAUCAUACUUUUACAAAAACCCCAUUUUGGAGCCCUAGGUUUGCACCUAUAGCAAACCACCCAAUAAAUCCCUAGAUUCUUGGGAUUGAUCUAUUUAGAAGCUUGCUUAGGGUCCAUUUGACCCAUCCCAAAGCAUAAAAACCCAAAACCCUAAAUUUUACAAGCUAGGGUUUGUAGCUUACCUCUUGAGCUACACCAAUGGAGAAGAGAGAAAGAGAGGAAGAUGCUCCAAGCCUCUCUAUCUUGUUCUCCUCCUUCUUCUUCUUCUUCUCCUCCUUCUUCUUCUUCUCUUUCUUCUUCUCCUUCUCUUUUGUUCUUUCUUUUCUAGAGAGAGAGAGAGGGAGCAAGAGAGAGUGUGANNNNNNNNNNNNNNNNNNNNNNNNNNNNNNNNNNNNNNNNNNNNNNNNNNNNNNNNNNNNNNNNNNNNNNNNNNNNNNNNNNNNNNNNNNNNNNNNNNNNAUCCGGACCUGAGCUUCAGGAUCCGGACCCCGUAGGUCCUAUCUGCAUGAUACGCAGAGAGGAUCCGGACCUGAGCAUCAGGAUUCGGAUCCCGUAGGUCCUCUCUGCAUGAUACGCAGAGAGGGUCCGAACCUGAGCAUCAGGAUCCGGACCCCGUAGGUCCUCUCUGCAUGAUACUCACGGAGGGUCCGGACCUGGGCUUCACAAUCCGGAAUCCGUACCAUAUAUUUCCUGAUACGCAGAGAGGGUCCGGACCUGAGCUUCAGUGUAACUACCAGAUUUUGGUAUAAAAAUAAAAAUAAAUAAAAAUAGUGUGAGAAACUAUUUUUAUUGGAUUUGUAGGAGUAAAACAUAAGUCAGAAGUGACUUGUGCUGAAAUCGGAAUGAAAACAGAAGAUCUAGAAUUUUCUGUUGGAAACGGGACAGAUAAAUUAGCAGAAAAUGCACAGUCUCAGAAAAUUAUGAAAAUUGGAGGAUAAGUCAGAAAUAUUUUUAUGAGGCUAGAUUUAAAGUUUCAUAUUUUUCUGACACCCGUAGAGUGAGAAAUAAAAUCUGAGAGUUAUCUGAUAAAGAUUACAGUUCGGCACAGUUUUCAGUGACCAAACGGGGUCGAAACUGAACCAGUGAUCAUCAGCUUGUUAAGUUAAGUAAAACCGAACAUGACUGUCAAGUUUGAGCUCAAACGGACAUUCAGGGAGCUCCGGCGAAAGUUAUCAGAUUUCAAGCUGCCCGGGAGUGAAUAGUGUCUUGGGGGUAUUAUUAAGAAGCUGUUGCAUCUUCUUCUCCUUUGGCCGCACACCACACACGCACACGACGCACACACACACGCAAGGGAAGGGAGAGAGAGAAACGUCCAUUUUCUCUCUCUAAAUCUCUCCCAAAAAGAGAGGGUUUUGGUGGAGAUUGAAGCUCAAGGAUGGAUUUUCAUCCUCUCUAUCUUCUUCCUCUCCAUUAGAGCAAGCUUUGAAGGUAAGCUUCAAACCCUUUAAUGGCAUUUCUCUAUUGCUUGGGUUUUAAGCUCUAGAAACGAAUUAGUAGCUUUUCUAGAUGCUAAGUAGAUGAUUUAUGCUUAGAUCCUAAGUUCUAAUUGUGGGUUUUUACCUAUUGAAACCUAGAGCUCCAAAAUGAGGGCUUUAAUGGUAGAUCUCUAAAGAUAGGUCUAAAUGCUUUGGAAAUGGUUUUAGUGGAACCCAUUGAUGCCUAAUAGAUGAUUAAUGCUUGAAUCAUAGAGCACUUUAAUGAUUUCUUGCAUAGUUGUAAACCUAGGGCUCAAAAUGCUAACUUUCAAAAUAUGAGGGUUUGAUCUCAUUUGACCCUUCGUAAUCUAAUUGCUAGGUAAUGAAAUGCGUUGGCGAAGACGGUUCGGCAAUCCGACGAGCUGUUACAGAGAUAUUAAAGAAACGGACGUUAGGCUUCGUUUCUGCCUGGAGGGCCGAAGCGACAUCGUAAACCCAUGAAAACGGAUUUGAAGCAUCGUGGCACAUAACCGAAAACCUUUAAUUUUCGGAUCAUAGAUUGGAGGCCGUUCAGGUGGUCGCGCAAGAGAUCGGGCCAAACCGAGUGCCGGGUGCCACGGGCGGCCGAUUGCAAGUGUCGACAAGCAAUCAGAAUGCGAAAUGAGGUUGGUUGUGUUUACCGAAGCGACUAGGUCGCCCUUUAUGUCUAAGAAAUGAGAUCUCAUAUUGAUGCAUAUUGACAUAAUGUAAAAAUGUGAAAGGAAUGCAUGUUAACAUACUAUAGAAAUGCUAGAUAAAUGCAUAUGAUUAAUGUUUUGAAUUCAUAAUAUAAAGGGCGAAUUAAGUGCUAAAAGAAUGCAUGAGAUGCUAAGUGCUAAAAGAAUGCAUGAGAUGCUAAGCAUGGACUAUUUUGGAUAAUGGCUAUAUGUAUGUUGACAUGUCAUGUGAUGCUAGUGGUAUAUGUGUAUGAUGAUAUAUUAUGAAUUUUGUCACGCCCCAGACCGCACCACCCGAAAACGGUACCAAUUUGGUCCGGUUCGAGGGCGGUGGCGCGACCGCCGAACGGACGGAGUUUCCCCUGUCCGCCCAAGGCUAAGCAACUGAUUGUGUACAACAAGUCCCCAGGAAUGCAACUUGAAUACAUACACAAUCAAACAACGAUAAACGAGAGCACAAACAGUGCUACAACCAACUAGAGCAAGCGAUACAAGUAAAGCCAUACAAGUAUACAAAAGAGAGAAACUUAACUAUUUGAGACAUCAUUGAAACAUUAAGCCUCUUUCAACAUCAUUUAAACUUCAAUCAUUUAAUACAACUUGCAUUCUUUUUCAAAAUGUAAAGUACAUCAUAAACUCUCCAAAACCUCACCCUAUAUAAUAUCUACUCUCAAAAUGUAUAAACCAAAAGUAUAGGGUAGAGCUAAUGCAAGUAGGGAAGGUAAAGCUAUCAACCAACUGCUAGGGCGCUAUGCCCUUGCCGCGAUCCAUCGACGAAGGCCCGCUGUCCUGUAUACCUGUAUCCCCAAAGCCACACGGGGGUGAGAACUACGAAUAGUUCCCAGUGGGUUCGGCCGCCGACUCCGCCGAUCUACCCACUAGGUCUCAGGCAUGCAUAGAGAGAUAUAUAUAUGCAAUAUAUAUAAAACUAAGCUGAACGGAAGCAGGUAUGUAAACAACUAUAUCAAGCUAUGCCUCAAUCUGGAAUCAUGAAUGCAUGAACAAUAAUAAAGCUGGGUAAGUAAGCAACUACCAACAUCUACAACAGCUAAUAUAGUAAGCUAUAAAACAUGCUACUAGGAAAGCAAAUAAGCUGAUAUGAACAAUGAAUAGCUACUAUGAACAUCAAUCCUGGGUAAGACUCAAUGGGUAACCCAAUCUCCAAGCGAACACAAGGUUCACAAGCAAAACUCACAUAUCAAUCUCCGAGGGAUGCCUAGCUGGUCGAUCCCCGAGUAUGCCUGCGGAUAACAAGCAGCUAUCCGAGCAGCGAGCAGGGUUGCCUCUCUAGUGACCAAACUCCGGAGCGCACAACUUGAGGGGAGCGACCUCACCAAGCGCAGACAGGCAAUGUGAGCAAGAUCAUCUCACGAGCAACAACAACAACCCCUUUGAGGGUGAUAUCAUCAUAAAAGCAAGGUAUACAUGUACCCAAUCUCAUAGUGUCUCAACUGCACCAAUGUUCUAGUAUCAAGAUCAUCAUCAAUCAUAUGUCACUCGUCAUAGUUUUCUAACUAGAUGCCACUCGUCAUUUAGACUCAUUUUCACACUAGUUACAUCAUACUAGUUCUUUAGCAACAUAAGCAUUAAUCAUCUCAUAUAGGGUUAAAUCUCAUCAUCAAACUCUAUCAUUUAAUCUCAUGCAUACUAGUUUAUAAAUCAUUCAAUCAACCAUAUUUAUAGCUACUAGCAUGCAAAUUAAGCAACAUAAUAAAUCUUUAACCCUAUAAGAACAUGCACAAUAUGCAAAGAGAUCAUAUUUAGACUUAGACAUAAAAGGUAGCCCGAUGACUUCGGGAUGGCACUCCCCCACCUUGGGUGAUGCCGCAGACACUCCGAGACGCGUUCUCGUGCUAGUCUUGUCGCCGCUUAAUUUUCGUUGGGUUAACUUUAACCCUUUAGCACAUCAAUUGGCGAUAUCUUCGCGCUCACUCGUCGGAUCGACGAACCGUCUUCGCCUACGCGUUUAUAAGCAUAGAAAUUAGGUUUCUAACCCCUCAAAAGAGAUCAAACCCUAAUAUUUGUAAAAUCCCCAAAAUCAAGCCCUAGGUUUAGCAACCAUGGGAAGCAAUGAUUUCUAGCUUCAUUGUGAGCUAAAUCCAUCAUCUCUAAACCCAAAAGGUUCCAUUUGAACCAUUAAAACCAACCAAAAACCCUCAAGCCCUAGAAAUCUCAAAAUAGGGUCAAGGCUUACCUCUAGGGUUUGCUCCAAAGCAAGCCCUAGCUUGAAAACGUGGAGGAAGAGAGCUUCUUCUCAUUCUCCUUGAUCUUCUCCUUCCUUUUCUUCCUCUCUUCUUCUUCUUCUUCUCCUUCUUUUUCCUUUUCUCCUUCUUCUUCUCUAUUCGGUUAGAGAGAGAGAGAGAGCUAGAGAGAGAGAGGGGCUGUGAGAGUGAGAGGGGAGAGAGCUGAGAGUGAGGGGGUUAAGUCCCCUAUUGUAACAAAAUGCUAAAGAGCCCUCAUUUAAUCAGAUUUUGCAAUUUAACCCACAGCUGUCGCGCCCUUGUACCGGUACACGGGGCCUUGUACCGGUACAGGCCCUUAAACCGACCGCAAACCGAGCCUCGGGUUUAUCUGUUUUGCAAAGCUUGUACCGGUACAAGCCAGCCUUGUACCGGUACAGCGCCUGAAGCCUUCGAACCCGAGAGCUGCGCAGCCUGGCUGCGAUGGUUGUACCGGUACAACCAUCACCCUUGUACCGGUACAGCAGCUCCAGAAUGCUUUUUUAACUUCGUUUCGGCUCCGCUUCGCACCGAUCGAUGUCCACACCAUUCCAACACCUUUAGAACUCACUUUUGCGCUUUCAAAUUUGUUGGAAUACCGAAUAGAGCUUAUCCAUAUCGUUUAAUCGCCUACUUUGGCCCAUUUGGCCAAAGUUAGCCAAUAUCGUCGAAUUUCGAUAUCUUACAUUCUCCACCCCUUAAAAGGAGUUUCGUCCUCGAAACAACUUAACUCAUGAACUUGAAUUUAACUCAUACCUCAAUCCUCGAAUAGGUGAGGAUGAUUCGCCUUCAUCUGGUCCUCGAGUUCCCAAGUGGCUUCGCGAUCGUCGUGAUUGCUCCACCGGACUUUAACAUAGGGAAUUUCUCGAUUCCUUAGUUUACGCACCUCUCGAGCCAAGAUCUCCACCGGAAACUCUUCAUAGCUCAAAUCAUCUUGAAGUUCCGGCGGCUCAUAUAGCAUCGCAUGCUCGGGAUCGUAAAUAUACUUGCGAAGGUUGGAGACGUGGAACACAUUGUGCACACCCGCGAGCUUCGGGGGCAAUGCAAGUCGAUACGCCACCGUCCCAAUUCGCUCCAAAAUCUCAUAUGGGCCAAUGUAACGAGGACUCAGCUUUCCUCGCACCCCAAAUCGCUUCACGCCUCGCAUCGGCGAAACCUUGAAGAAUACGCGGUCACCCACCGCGAACUCCAAAUCUCGUCGGCGCCUAUCCGCAUAGCUUUGCUGUCUCGACUGCGCCGUGAGCAAUCUUUUGCGAGCAAGGCGGACUUUCUCUUCCGCUUCCCGCAACACAUCAGGCCCGAACUCCGCACGCUCACCUACAUCGCUCCAGUGUAUAGGGGAUCGACACGCCCGCCCGUAGAGGGCCUCAAACGGUGCCAUCUCCACACUAGCAUGAUAACUAUUAUUGUAGGCGAACUCGGCCAUCGGUAGGUGAUCACACCAACUUCCUUUAUAGUCAAUGACACACGCUCGCAGCAUAUCCUCCAGAGUCUGAAUAGUUCUCUCGGUUUGUCCAUCGGACUGAGGAUGAAACCCGGUGCUAAAGUCGAGCCGUGUGCCAAGGGCUUCCUGCAGGCUCUUCCAGAAAUGUGAAGUGAAUCGGGGGUCACGAUCCGACACGAUCGAUUUCGGCACCCCAUGCAGUCUCACUAUCUCGUCAAGAUACACCUGCGCUAACUUGUCGCCCGACCACGAAGUAUGAAUCGGCAAGAAGUGAGCCGACUUCGUCAAUCGGUCCACAAUUACCCAAAUUGCAUCGUGGCCGCCUUUAGAGCGGGGUAAGCCGACCACGAAGUCCAUCGAUACGUCCUCCCAUUUCCAAACGGGGAUUGGUAAACUUUGAAGCUUUCCCGCUGGAAAUCGAUGCUCGGCCUUCACCUGUUGGCAUGCUAGGCACUUUGCCACAAAGCGUCCAAUGUCGGCUUUCAUUCCUGGCCACCAAUAGUGUGCUUUUAGGCCUUGGUACAUCUUGGUGCCGCCCGGGUGACCAGCAUACGGGGACCAAUGCGACUCCUGGAGUAUAAGCUUGCGAAGCUCCUCAUCCGCGGGUACACACCUCCGGUUCCGAAACUGAAGCGUGCCAUCGGCAUCUAUAUUGAACUCGCCGCCAUGACCUUCCUCGAUGUUUCGCCGCACCUUUUGGAGUUCUGGAUCCGCAGGUUGCAGAUCUUUAAUCCUCUCAAACAAGGUCGGUUGGACAACGAGUGCCAUCAACUGAGUCGGAACUUCAGGAGCAACUACUUCAAGGUCCAUUCGCUCUAUAUCGAACCCUAGGGGUUUCUGCUGGGUAACAUCGAAAGCGAGGUUCUUCGUUGUCUUCCUACUCAAUGCAUCCGCGACCACAUUAGCCUUCCCGGGGUGGUAAAGGAUAUCAACAUCGUAAUCCUUCAAUAGCUCCAACCACCGCCGCUGACGCAUGUUAAGCUCUUUCUGUGUGAACAGAUACUUCAAGCUCUUAUGGUCGGUGUAGAUCUCGCAAUGAGCACCAUAUAGAUAAUGUCUCCAAAGCUUCAGGGCAAAGAUCACCGCCGCCAGUUCUAAAUCGUGAAUGGGGUAGUUCUUUUCAUAGCUCUUUAGCUGACGGGAUGCAUAUGCAAUAACUUUCCCGUUCUACAUCAACACACACCCCAAGCCCAAAUAAGAAGCAUCACUAUAGACGACGUAGUCCUGCCCUUGCACCGGUAAGGCGAGUACUGGAGUCGAAGUUAGCCUCUGCUUCAACUCUUUAAAGCUCCGGUCACACUCGUCGCUCCAAACAAACUUGGUGCCUUUUUGCGUCAAACGGGUAAGUGGAGUCACAAUCUUAGAGAACCCCUCCACAAACCGUCGAUAAUAACCGGCUAGGCCCACAAAACUACGGACCUCGGUAACAUUCGUCGGGCGCGGCCAAUUCUCAAUAGCCUCUACUUUCCUCGGGUCAACAGAAACUCCACCCUCGGAAAUAACAUGCCCGAGAAAUGCGACCUCUCGAAGCCAAAAGUCGCAUUUCUUCAGCUUUGCGUACAACUUCUUCUCCCGAAGAAUUUGAAGUACCGUGCGCAAAUGCUCCGCGUGCUCCUCGUCACUACGCGAAUAUACCAAAAUGUCGUCUAUGAAGACUACGACAAAUCUGUCCAAGCACUCCUGGAACACUCGGUUCAUCAAGCUCAUGAACGCUGCCGGGGCAUUCGUAAGCCCAAACGGCAUCACCGUGAACUCGUAGUGUCCAUAACGCGUGCGAAACGCCGUCUUCUGAACAUCUUCCGGUUUGAUCUUUAACUGAUGGUAACCGGACUGAAGGUCAAUUUUAGAAUACACUCGCGACCCCUGCAACUGAUCAAACAAAUCAUCAAUACGGGGUAGCGGGUACUUGUUCUUCACCGUGACCUUGUUCAACUCGCGGUAAUCCACGCAUAGUCGAAAAGAUCAAUCUUUCUUGCGCACAAAUAAUACCGGGGCAGCCCACGGCGAAACGCUCGGCCUAAUGAAUUCCUUGUCGAGAAGAUCCUGCAAUUGAUCUCUCAACUCCCUUAGCUCGGCCGGCGCCAUGCGAUACGGGGCCUUAGAAAUCGGCGCGGUGCCGUGUACCAAGUCCAUCAUGAACUCGAUCUCCCGAUCCGGCGGCAAACCCGGUAACUCAGCGGGAAACACAUCAGGGAACUCCCGCACAACCGCCAACUCUUCGAGGAUCGGAACGGCUCGAUCAAUCUCCACAACGGUCGCCAAAUAAGCCAUGCAACCGCUGUUCACCAGCUUCCUCGCUCUAGUCGCUGAUACCAUCGCGGCGAAACACGAGCUCUGGCAAGCUCGAUAGGUGAACUCUUCCUGUCCCGGCUCCCGAAAUGUGAUAACUCGAGUCGGGCAAUCGAUCGAUACAUAGUACCUCGAGAGCCAAUCCAUGCCCAAUAUAACAUCGAAUUCCUUCAACUUCUUGAGCACCAACAAAUCAAUCGGCAUAACCCAGUUGUUCACUUGCACUGGACAUGCCAAGCAUCGCUUUCUAACCAUAAUCGAUCGCCCGGGGCCCUAAACGUGCCAAAUGUGCUCCCCAAGACGAUACUCAAUAUCAUGCGCUCGUGCAAAUGACCGACUAAUAAAUGAGUGCGAUGCGCCAGUAUCAAAUAAAGCUCUAGCUCGAACAUUUUUAACCAAAAUUAUACCUGCCACAACGUUGCGCUCAUCGGCCGCUGAAGGCUCCUCUAUAUGAACAGGAGCGGCAUACAUCCUCCCGCUCGGCGCAGAUCGUGCAGGCUCUAGCUGGCGUGGCGCCGCUGCUCGCCCGGUAGAUGCUGCAGGAGGGGGCAGAGCAUAGCGAGCUGGAACCGCCGGGGCCGAUGCAGUCGACAUAGCGGGCGAAGCUCCUCCUUGAGGACAGUUGCGGAUCUGAUGUCCCGCUUGCCCACACUUGAAGCACCUCCCUCGGCGCUGCUCACAAACACCCGGCGGUGGUCUCCGCCACAGAAGAUACAUCGCUCAGCACCACGACCCUUGGCCUGAGAGCGUGGAUACUUCGGGGGCCUCCUGGAGCUAGACUGACCACCCGAUCCACCGCCCUGCCUUUUCUUGCCUUUAUCCUUGUCGAGCGCUUCGCGGUCCUCAUGCUCGCAGGCGUUUCCGUGCUCGACCCAUAGUGCGCAAUCCAAUGCUCCCGCCAAAGUGUGGAACUUGAAGGCAUGCACCAACUUGAACACUCCGGGCCGAAGCCCUCGAACGAAGCAAUCCGCCCGGUCCUGCUCUGUCGUCGCUACAUCCGGGACGCAGCUCAGGAGAUGGGUGAACUCCCGCACAUACUCCCGAACUGUACGGUUGCCUUGCUUGAGCUUGCGGAAAUCUUCCCGCAUCCUCCUCUUGUCACUGUCGGGGAAGUACUCGGCGAACAUCAGCUUGCGGAACUCCGCCCAAUCGAUCGAGGGAAGCUCCGGGGAUCAGUCCUGCUUGACCCUCCGCCACCAAGUCCUGGCCCGCUUCUCGAAGCAAUGCGCGGCCAAGUUCACCUUGUCCCUCUCCAAGGUGAAGAUGUCCUCGAAUAGAGUCUCCAUAGCUGUCAGCCAAGACUCCACCGCAGCUGGAUCCACCACCUCUCCGUUGAAAGUAGGCGGACGAAACUUCGUGAACCUCGUGAGCGCCACAUAGCCACGCUCACGCUUCGCCUCCUCAGCCACUAUCGCGGGCGUAGGAGAACUUGAACUAGCCGGAGGAAAAUCCACCGGUGGGGGUUGCGCCGCCACCGGAACCGAAACGCCUCCCGCACCCUCGGCGGCAUCAGGGGCGCGAACUGAAGGCGCAGGCGGACCGCGGCUUGGACCCGCUGCCGCAGCCGCCGCCACAGCCUGCUGCUCCAGCAGCUCCUAGAUCCUAUCGAACCGUCCAGUAAGCGCCGCAACUUGCGCUCGCAACUCCUGCACCUCAGUAGGCCCAGCUGACACUGACGCCACUGGAGGCACAGCUGUCUCGGGCACCUCUCGGGGUAGUGCCGGAGCGGUCCUACGCACGUAGCGUCUCUUUGGUGCCAUAGCUCCUGAAACGCAAACCGUUGGUUAAUUACUUAACUCAACAACGUCGUCGCAAUUGCGAAACAUAACGAUUAAACAGCAUAAAUCAGGCGGUAAGCUUGCAAGUGUCUUAAUUCUCGACCUUCGGCAUCGUGUUGUCGGCCGCCAACACAAUCACCUCAAGCCAAAAAUUAAUACCGCUUGAAUCAUCUCUAGCCAUAACUAGAGUACAACACCAACUUCAAACCCAAUCAAUUAGUUUCCGCCGCGUCAUAGGUUCACGUCGCAUUCACGCACCUACAACCUUAGGGUUAACCAACCUAGAGUCUCCUAGGUCAUCCUAGACUCUCUCUUUUGUUUGCUCUUAACUCGCUCUGAUACCACCAACUGUCACGCCCCAGACCGCACCACCCGAAAACGGUACCAAUUUGGUCCGGUUCGAGGGCGGUGGCGCGACUGCCGAACGGACGGAGUUUCCCCUGUCCGCCGAAGGCUAAGCAACUGAUUGUGUACAACAAGUCCCCAGGAAUGCAACUUGAAUGCAUACACAAUCAAACAACGAUAAACGAGAGCACAAACAGUGCUACAACCAACUAGAGCAAGCGAUACAAGUAAAGCCAUACAGUAACAAAAGAGAAAAACUUAACUAUUUUUUCUGAGACAUCAUUGAAACAUUAAGCCUCUCUUCAACAUCAUUUAAACUUCAACCAUUUAUACAACUUGCCAUUCUUUUUUCAAAAUGUAAAGGACAUCAUAACUCUCAAAAACCUCACCUAUUACAAAUAUUACCUCUCAAAUGGUAUAAACCAAAAGUACAGGGGUAGAGCUGAUCGCAAGUAGGGAAGUAAAGCUUAUCAACCAACUGCGUUAGGGCUAUGACCCUUGCGCGAUUCCAUCGACGAAGCGCUGUCCUGUAUACUAGUACCCCAAAGGCACCGGAGUGAGAACUACGAAUAGUUCCCAGUGCGGUCGGUCGCCCACUCCGCCGAUCUUCCCACUAAGUCUCAAGCAGGCCAUAGAGAGAGGUAUAUAUAUGCAAUAUAUAUAAAACUAAGCUGAACGGAAGCAGUAUAUGUAAUACAACUAUAAUCAAGUAUGCCUCAAUCUGGAAUCAUGAAGCAUGAACAAUAUAAAGUGGGUAAGUAAACAACUACCAGAGCAUCACAGCCAGCUACAUGUAAGCUUAUAAAACAUGCUACUAGGAAAGCAAUAAGCUGAUUAUGAACAAUAAAUCAGCCUACUUAUGAACAUCAAUCCUGUGGUAAGGACUCAAUGAGGUAACCCAAUCUCACAUGCGAAACACAAGGUUCACAAGCAAAAUCAAUAUCAAAUCUCCGGGAUGCUAGGCAUGAGUCGAUCCCGAGUAUGCCUGCGGAUAACAGCGGCUAUCCGAGCAGCGAGCAGGGCAAUGCUCUCUAGUGACCAAACUCCGAUGCUCACAACCUUGAGCUGGGAGCGACCCCACCAAGCGCCAGACAGGCCAAUGGAGCAAAGAUCAUAUCACGAGCCGACAACAACAAUCCCCUUUGAGGGUGAUAUUCAUCAUAAAAGAAGGUAUACAGUGUACCCAAAUUCAUGUGUCUCACUACACCUAAUGUCUAGUAAUCAAGAUCAUCAUUCAAGUCAUAUGUCACUCCAUAGUUUUUUAACUAGAUGCACUCGUCCAUUUAGACUCAUUUUCACACUAGCUUACAUGCAUUACUAGUUCUUUAGCAACUAAGCAUUAAUAAUCUAAUAUAGGGUUUAAUUCUCAUCAUCAAACUUCUAUCAAUUUAAUUCAUGACAUACUAGUUUAUAAAUCAUUCAAUCAACCAUAUUUAUAGCUACUAGCUGCCAAAUAAGAACAUAAUAAAUCUUUAACCCUAUUAAGAACAUGCAGCAAUUAUGCAAAGAGAUCUAUUAGACUUAGACAUAGGAAGGCAGCCAGAUGACUUCGGUGAUGCACUCCCCACUUGAGGUGAUUGCGCAGACACUCCGAGAGCGUUUCGUGCUAGUCUUGUUCGCGCCUCAUUUUCGUAUGGUUAAGCUUUAACCUUAUACCAAUCAAUGGCGAUAUCUUCGCCGCCUCACUCGUCGGCAUUCGACGACCGUGCUUCGCCUACGCAUUUAUAAGCAUAGCAAAUUAGGUUUUAACUCCUCAAAGAGAUCAAGACCCUAAUAUGUGUAAUCAAUUCCCAAAAUCAAGCCUGGUUAGCAACCAUGGGAAGCACUGGUUUCUAGCUUCAUUGGGAGUCUAAAUCCAUCAUAUCUAAACAAAAGUUCCAUAUUAAACCAUUAAAACCAAACCAAAAGCCCGCAAGCCCUGAAUAUCUCAAAAUAGGGUCAAGGCUUACUCUAUGGGUUAUGCUCCAAAGCCAAGCCCUAGCCUUGAAAACGUGGAGCGAAGAAGAGCUUUCUUCUCCUUCUCAUUGAUCUUCUCUUCUUUUCUUCCUCUCUUCUUCUUCUUCUUUCUCCUUCUUUUUCUUUUCUCUUUUUCUUCUCUAUUCGGUUUAGAGAGAGAGGAGCUAGAAGAGAGAGAGGGGCUGUGGAUGAGAGGGGAGAGAGCUGAGAGUGAGGGUGUUAAGUCCCUAUUGUAACAAAAUGCUAAAGAGCCUCCUUUAAUCAUAUUUUGCAACCUUAACCCACCAGCUGUCUGCGCCCUUGUACUGGUACAGCGGGCCUUGUACGGUACAGCCUUAAACCGACGCAAACGACGGCCUCGGGUUUAUCUGUUUCGCAGAGCUUGUUACCGGUAAAGCAGCCUUUGUACCGGUACAGCCGCCUGAAGCGCUUCGAACCCGAGAGCUGCGCAGCCUGGUGCGAUGGUUGUUACCGGUACAACAUCACCUUGUACUGGUACAGCAGCUCAAAUUUUCUGUUUUAACUUCGUUUCGGCUCCGCUUCGCGCGAUCGAUGUCCACACCAUUCCAACACCUUUAGAACUCAUUUUUGUGCUUUCAAAUUUGUUGGAAUACCGAAAUGGAGUCUAUCCAUAUGUUUAAUCGCUACUUUGGCCCAUUUGGCCAAAGUUAGCCAAUAUCGAUCGAAUUUCGAUAUCUACAAAUUUACAUAUUUGGAUUAUGUUAAAUAGAAAACUACUUGAUGACAUAUUGCCAGGUGUGGAACAUAUGUGGACAAUCUACAUAUUAUUAGAUCGAAGUGGAUUAAACUAGUAUCUUGAACCUAGCAAACACUUGUGGGAUUGAGACAUGUUUAUUUGGUGUCAUUCAUGUAUGUUAGGACCCUAUUAUUGUGUGAAUGUGAGAGUCGGACUUGGACAAUAGUAAACAAGGUGCAAUGAAAAUAGAGACAUGAUUGGCAUCAAGAAAGUGGUUGUUAAACAUAGGUUAACCAUAUUGACAUUGGUCCAAGUUGACAAUAGAGAGUGGCAUGAUUAAAUAGGUAGAAAACCUAUAUGACAUUUGCAUUGUGACUAGUGGCUAUGAAUCCUCAAGUUGGAGGAUUGGAUCGAUACUCACGUUACGUCUUGGCUUGAGGAGGUAGCUCCCCUCGGGCGGUGCGCUCCGGAGUUGGUCACCACUGGGCGUGGUAAAGUCCACCAGUUGACGGUCCCUAGGGAGGUGUCGAGUCCCCGUUAUUAGGGAUUUUGGUAGUGAGUUAUUGGGGUUAACAUGGUUAACCGGUAAGAUUGGGUCAUAGCCAAAUGAUGUACAACAAGUAUGCAUUAUGAGUUAUGAUUUGGUUAUCCAGUUCAGAGAGGAUUUAGGGCUGAGGUGUAUGUGAGACGUCCAUCGCCUCGAGCCUAGUUCUAGUGCGGUACUCCGCAGACGAUUGACUCAAGACCGAGUCGGGUGGUAGCCUUGUUAAGGUAGAUGAGACUUUAUGAUUAAAACGAUGAUUGACAAGAAUCUAAGAUAGAGGAAACCUUAGAUAUCAAGUGGAUGGGUUAUGGUUAGCAGAAUUGAAAGUAGUAUUGAAUGAACUACUAGUUGGAUGCAUAGUUGCAUUAUUGCAUGAUUUGCAUAUAGCAUUGCAUUAUUAUGUUUGUAGGCAAUGCAUGGUUUUAUUCAUUGCAUAAUCAAGAUAUAUAUAUCUAUCUGUUUAUUGAACUAACUUGCAGUUGCCUCCCUUGGACCUAUUGGUCGAGCUUUUCCCUUGAGUGGCCGUACCCACUGGGAACCAUGGAGUUGGUUCUCACCCCACGUGGUUUUGGGGUGUUUACAGGUUCGCACGUGAGCGGCGCGGCGGCGCAAGGAAAGGGCGUACCUCCGUAGAUAGCGCCCUACCCCAGAGACCAGAGCUAGCAGUACCCCAUCGACAUAGCUUAGGGGUUAAAGAAAUGAAAAGAACACAAUAUAACAUGAUGUAUUAAAGAUAUAAAUGUUGUAAUAAUUUAGAUUGCAUUUAGAUGAAAAAGGAAUGGUAGUUGGGAUGUAAAAUGCAUGAACAUGAAUGAAUGUAAUAAUAUAGGAUGUGUUUAUGCUGUUUGAUACCUUCCAUUAUGCAAUCUUGAUUGAAAUGUGUUCCUGGUUGGAACUUCGUAUAUUGUAUUGAUUGCGAAGCCUUGAAUGUACAGGGGAGACUCUGUCCGCGGUAAAGGAAAAACCCUGUCCGUUCGGCGGUCUGUCGGCGGCGCCACGACCCGGCCAAAUAGGCGGGUGGUCGCGGGGCGUGACAUUCAGGAUCCGGACCCCAUAGGUACUCUCUUAUAAUACUUAUUUAGCACUGUCAGAUAUUUGGGUGUUCCACCCAAGGUUUAAAGUAUACCGAAUAGUGAUAUAAGUGUUCCAUGUAUGGCUAUAAUGUGAAUUAUGAGGUCUCCAAUAUAAAAGUGGUCAUAUGACUAUUAGAUAUAUGGGUGUGACCUACACUACUAUAGAUGCACCUUGGUAAAAUUCUAGUUAAAACAUUUUCUUAUGACAUUUACUUAGCACUGGCAGAUAUAUGGGUGUUCCAACUAAGCCUUAGAGUGUACCGACUAGCUUUAUAAGUAUUCCGUUUCUGGCUAUAAUGUCACGCCCCGGGACCGAUACCAAUUUGGGCCGGCCCGAGCACGUCAACAGACGCCGAACGGACAGAGUUUUCCCUAUCCGCCCAAGGCUCAUCACAUGUACAAAUUCAAACAAGAAAUGCACUAGCGGAAACAUACACAAACGGCUUACACGAGGGUAAGCAAUAGCCAUUAGUGAAAGAAAAAGGAAACUAAACAUUCACUUAUACUAUGAUUCAUUUUUGAUCAUAUACAUUGCAUUCAUCUUGUUCAUUUUCGAAUUCCUUACAUUUCAUUUCAUCAUUUCUUUCUUACAUCACAUUUACCUCAAAAUACACAUUACAUUCUUUUCUUUACAUCAUUUACCAUCAUGUACAAAAGAUGAUCAUAGGGUACUUUACUACAAAAUGAAACCCAACUUUGGUGGCCUCUGACUAAGGCGCGAUACCUUUACCUCGGUCGCUCGCCGGCUCGCUCGGUCCCGGCUCUGUGGAAAUAGUGGGGUGAGAACUACAACAAAGUUCCCAGUGGGUUCGGCCUCAACAUCACCGACUUUCCCACUAGGACUAACUCAGGCAUAAUAGAAAGAAUAAGCUGCAUAUAGUAACCAAUCUAUACAUGAUGCUAAUAUGCCUGAACAAUAAAGCAGAAAUAUGCUCAGCAUUAAAUAAAUGCAGAUUAUGCAAAUUCAUUGUUCUUUUCACGUUACUCUUUGUUCUUUGUUCUUUACUCUUUGUUCUUUAUUCUUUAAUCUCAAGGCUAACCCGGGGGUUUCGCCAUAUUAACUUGCUUCACAUUAAGUCCAUCAUCGCAGGAACUCACCCGCUAGGACCGUCCUUCGGGUUUACUCCAACCCGUGAUGCAUAACUCUGGAGCGCAUUGCCCGAGGGGGAGCGACCGCCCUCGAGCUCGGAACUCAUAGCAAGUAUGAUCGUAUCCUUAACUCAAAGGAUUUAUAAGUUCAAUCUUGACUUUACACUAGCUCUAGUGUCCUUUACAUCACUUUAUGUUGCAAACUCAUGCAAUCGUUGUUCUUUAUUUUUCUUUUUCUUUUGCUAUCUUUAGCAUUCUUGUUCUUUACAUUCCUUACUUUUGGCUACCUCUAGCACUUCAUGUUCUUUACUCCCCACGUUACUUUAAUUUUAAGCAUUGUCAUUUUCAUCAUUCUUUACAUUACAUUGGUUCUUUACCUCACACUAUCUCUAGUGUCAUUUUACAUUAACUUUAUCAAAUGCCACUCGAUCUAUGUCAUAGUGUCACUCUGUUCUUUUGCUCACUUUGGGUGCUCACUUUCUCUCAUGCAUACACAUAGGGUUUUCGACAUCACAUGGUUCUCAUUCAUCAUAUUAUGCAAGUUGUACUCACAAUCAUGCAUCAUUACGUUUUCAUCAUUAUUUUACCCUAAAAUGCAUGCAACAAUAUAUACAUACAUGCUCAAAUGAAUGACACAUUAGGCAUAGAGAGAAGUUCAAUGGGUUUGAGAAGCACCACCCACCUCGUAGGUCUAUCUAGGUGCUCCGACGAUUUUCUUAGGAUUUUUAGACCCUUCGUUCUUUACCUGCGGCAUAACGGAGCCAAAUUAGGCUUAUUGGGCCAUAACCUUACAUACACUUUUCGAAACGUUAUUCCGAGCGCACCAACGCGUCGGAAAUACCACCAAUUGGGUUUCUAGGGGGUCAAUUGCACUUAGAAACCCCUAUGAGCAAAAGCCCCAAUUUGGGUGCCCUAGCUCCAUUGCAUCAUCAAACCUAGGGUUUGAUCUCAAAGAGAAGCAAAAGUAGCUUCAAUAUACUCUAAAUAGUCCAUUAGAACCAUUUCUAGUUCACUCCAAACCCUAGUUUGGAUUUCACCAUUAGAGGUGGCCAAAGCUCACCUCAAGCUAAACCAUGGCUUUGAUCUCUAAAGAAGCAAAAAGAAAGCUUCAAAGACUCUAAACAAUCCAUUAAAACCAUUUCUAGGUUUAUUCAAAGCCCAUUUUAGGGUUUUACUACAAUAGGGUUCAAAUCUUACAUUGUAAGCUCUCCUUUCUUGCACUAGAGAGGAUGAAGAUGAAGCCUCUUUGCUCCUCGAUCUUCUCCUUCACUUUCUUCUCCUUCUUCUCCUUCUUUUCUUCCUUUCUUCUUCUUCUCCUUUGUCUUCUAGAGAGAGAGGGGGAGAGAAAAGAGUGUUUGAGAGGAAGAGAAUGAGAGAAAAGGCUCUCUCAGCCCUCUACAUAACCCAUGGGUUGCAAAAUUGAUAAUAAGUCCCUCAACUUUCAUCUCAUUACACUGCCCGAACUGGGCAGUUCGCGCAGCCGGGGACCGGUCUCUCCUUCAGGGACCGGUUCCCGAAGGCUCUCCCCGCGCAGCCAGAGCUGCUGCGCGCAGGGCAACCGGUCUCUCCUUGGGGGACCGGUCUCUCGGACAGGGACCGGUUCCCGAGAGCUACUUUCUCAGGACUUAGCCGAUUUUUCGGCUGUCUCAUUUCAUACGCGUUCGGGGACCGGUCUCUCCCACCAGGGACCGGUCCCCGAGAGCUCAAAGUCUGCAGUUUGCAGAUUUUGAUUCUAUAGCUCUCGAAAACCUCCCGUAACUUACUUUUAAUCAUUUUAACACCUUUGGACUUUCCGAAGUGUACCGUCCUCGCACUUUGGUAAAUUUGACUAAAGUUCGACAUUUAUUUUCCGAAUUUUCGGUAUAUUACAUAUAAUAUCAAAUAUCAGGUCUCCAUUAUAAAGUGAUCAUAUCACUAUUAGAUGACGACGGUGUGCCAUACACCACUCUAGAUACACCUCAGUUAAUCUAUAGCUGGAGCUUAUUUUUUCUAAAAUGGAGUUAUCGGUCUCUGGUAUAUGGGUAUGCCCUUUAACACGACAGAUGUACCGGGCCCCUCAAAAAUUAUUCCAUUCUAAGGCAUACGUGCAAAAGUAAGCCAUAAUUGUAAAAGUGUAUAGAAGUGUCAUGUAAGUGUUUUGUUGCUAGCUAUAAAGCUUCACAUGUAUCGAACCGUCCUUUAAGUGUUCCGUUGCUGGCUAUCACUGGUAGGUACCUGGAUUCGCCCGUUCAAUACUUUGCAUGUAUUUUCACAUACCUAAAUCUGUCAUUCCUUUUUAUAACAUAGAAGUAGCUAUUGAGUAAUGUAGAUCUCUCAACAACACGUAUAAUGGUCAAUCAGUCACCUGCUAACUUUCAUAUAUAAAUUUUUUAUACUUGAUUAUAGUUAACUUUGCAUAUAGUAGAACAUUGGACUACGAAAUCUUACCCCUUUGUCAGCACUUGUGCAUUACAUCAAGUCGAAGAAGGUACAGAUUUGGAAGACUUGACAUGUCACCAUUUUAUUUAAAUAGCCGCAAUAGUUUGCAAGUUUAUUUGGCCCCAGAAUAAAUACCUGCUAUGUAUACUAAAGGAAUACCUACAUAUGCUUACUUGCAUAGGUAUACAGUUAGAUAGAAUAAUCAAAUUUCACUAAAACAGAGUCACUCAUAUUGGUAUAAGCUAAUAGUAGGUCUGAUUAUGGAGGUUAACACUUACUAUACUUAGACACCUCAAGAAUGGAGAGCAACACCUUUACAUCACAAGACGAAAUACAUACAAGCAGUAUCAAAUGCAUAGCAUUUUAAAUAUAUAUAAAUAUACAUUGAGUAUAAUAAUGCAACACAAAUUCACCAAUGUAUACAAACAUGACUCAUAUAGUAAACAGAAAGCAAGAAUAUUGAAUAUUGCUAGAUAUGAGGAAUAUAAGCACGUCAUUACAUUGUUGUCAAUCUUAUAUCCAGUGCUACAACAGAAACAAGAAAAAUACGAAAUAUUGUUAAUUCACUGUUUAUAAAUCGACACGUACGAACAAGGAGGUACAACACAGAUCAAUUCUAAAUCUGUAACUGUAGAUUUAAUACAAUGCCUGCUGCUUUCAUGUGCGCGAUGCUCUUCCACCGUGCUGAAAUUCAUGUUCCUACGGGAUCUCAUUUUCCUGUAACUGUUUAAAAGGUUAAUACGAUCAAUUUAAAACCGCCAAUAUAUAUAGAUUGUAUCGAGACUUUGUUAAUACCUCUUGCAAAUGAGUUGGGUGUGGCAUGUGCGUCUGAGGGGUCAGAUUCUGAUUUGUAGAUUGAGGAGGCAUAUCCACUCUAUGAGGAUACAUGAUAGGAUUUGAUGAUACGGAUAUAUUUUUAGGGCCCCACGUUGUCUGAUAUAAAAAGAAAGCAAACGUAAACCAUAUUAUUACUAUAUAGAUAAAAUUGUAUUAAAGAACCGUCCAUAAGAAAUAUAAUUUCUGUUACUGUAACGAUGAUGCCUCGGCUGCUUUGUACACCCAUCCCAUAAGGUAAGACACUUGCUGACGAAUUGUUAAUCGUAGGACUUUGUAGAUGAACCUGUUUUAAUAAACCAUUUUGUUUUGUAGAAUAUGAGAUCCAGAUGUUUAAAAAUAAUUAGUGAAGUUCCAUUUAUAUGUCUAUAUUAGAAAAUAAAAUAUAGAAAUAAUAAUGCGUAAAAUAUGUACGCUCUUUUGGGACGAGGCCGACUGUGAUGAUGAGACACAAUUAUAAAUGGAACAUUCACCGUUAUAUAACCUGUCCCAACAAUGUUGCCCAACCUGUUAAAUAGAGCAUGAAUAAUUAUCACUCAUUGUCGUCUAUCGUAUAUUACAAUCCAAAAAAACAUUGAUUGAGAUAGGUUAAGAUAUACCUGUUCUUUAUUGCCUGUCAUCUUCAACCGUCGUACAACUUUAUUGGUCGUCGACUCUUUUCUUUUGCUUGGCGGGCGGCCUUUACUGCGAACAAGUAGUGGGCUCAAAACUCUCUGGUCGUUACUUCUACCAUUAGACGCAUCAUUCGAAGGUGUUGCCGCAAUCGGCGAAUAUUCAAUAUCAUUGCUCCCCUUCGAUGAUGAAGUAUUUUCUAAUUUUGUCUUCAAAUCUCGUAAUGUACGUAAUGCUAGUUCACAUUUCUCAUCAGACUCAGCAGCUAUGUCUGCAAUAUCAUACAUAUUCCUACAUACUUCUUCAUAUCGAUAAAUUUCCGCGGUGCUCCCUAAGUUCUUUUGCCAUGUCUUCACGCGGGUAUACCUCCGUCUGACAUCCUUCCUCCAUCGUGUUAAUAUGUACGAAUUUGGGACAAUCAUCAACUUCCUAUGAACUAGGACGGCAAUUGAAUGUCAACAUAAAAUACCUUUAUACUCAAAUAGACGGCAAAUACAACUUACUAGAGAGGUACCUUCAUCAAAAUAUACUGUGAAGGGUACAUCUUUACCUCCGUCGCCAUACUCAUUUACUUGAUAAGAAUACACACUGCCUGUCGAAGACAGUAAGGAGGUCUCACAAUGCAAUAAUUCCUUCAACUCUGCCUGAAAGUCUCUAAAUUUCGCAAUCGUGUAUACAUCUUGAAAUUGCUUCUCAAAUGCAUAACGGCUGAUAUACGGGAUGAUUGAGCUGAAUGAUUUGUAGUCUAAUUCUGCUUCUUUUUCAGCUUUAUUUUUUAUUGCGCUUUCAUAUUGCUCAACGAAUUGUUUUAAUUGAGUUUUCGAGUUCACAUACCCAUCAAAAAAUGCAUUCAUACUUUCACUACGCUGUGUUGUGGACAUUCCAGCCCAAAUUGUAUCCUUCACAUAAGCUGGUAUCCACUUAUGUCUUUCCUCGUACAGGCCUGACAACCACUGAUUAUUUUCAAGUGCAUAAAAAGCUAUCAUUCUCUUCCAUUUUUCCUCAAAUUCAAUUUCUAUCAGUGAUUCAUAAAUAGCAUCCAUCAUCACGCUCUUCAUCGAAUGAUAUUCGCCAUAGCUUCUUAGCUUUUCCAGUAUCUUUUUUGUUAUGUGCCAUAAGCACUAUCGAUGCCGAGUAUUAGGAAAGACACGUGCGAUAGCAUUUUGCAUCGCUUUAUCUUGAUCUGUGAUUAUUGCUUUCGGGGCACGGUCGGACAUGCAUGACAACCAAUUUAGAAAGAGCCAUACAAACGAUUCUGUAUCUUCAGUGGGGAGUAGGCCGCACCCCAACAAGAUCGACUGUCCAUGAUGGUUAACACCAACAAAGGGAGCAAAUGGCAUAUCGUACUUAUUUGUUAGAUAUGUCGAGUUGAAAGUAAUUACAUCUCCAAAACAUUCAUAUGCCGCUCUACUCCGAGCAUCUGCCCAAAACACAUUGUGAAGCCGAGAAUCAUUGUCUAGAUCUAUGGCAUAAAAAAAGUUUCCAUUUCUCUCUUGCAUUUCUCUAAAAUAAUUACAAAUUGCUUCGCCGUCACCUUCACCAAGUCGUAACCGACGGGCUUUUUCAAUAUAAUUACGAGCGUCCUUCUCUCCAAAUGUUAAGUUUUCAUAUCCACCAGCCUCAACAACAAUAGAAUUAAAACUUUUAUUCAAUCUUAUUCCAGCACGAUCAUUAAGAUCAAGCCGCCUCUUGACGCUUGUAUCUAUAACUCGAUUGCAGGGAAAAAAUCGAGACUUAUAAGGACUUAGAGUGUGAUUAUGCUCAAGUGUAAUUUUGCUUAUUACACAAGAUGAAUCCGCAUUUAUUACCACAUUUAUUCUGGCAGGACAGUUUGUCUUUGCUACCGAUGGACGAGGACGAAUAUUCGUUACGGUCCGAUACAUUUUUUCAUGACGAGAGCAUGCGAUUAUUACAUAUGUAGCCUUGCCAUCGGUCAUUUUUGUUGACCUCUUUACAACUGCAAAUCCUAUUUCUUGUGCAUAAUGCUUAUAGAAAUUCAAAACGGCAUCAAAAUUGAUAAAAGUCAUUUUAAUUUCUGGUGCCGAUAUAUUUACAUCCCUGACCUCACUGUUUCUUUCUUCAUCCAUCUCAAAAAUAUUAAAUCAAAAUAAUCACUCAACGAAACAAAUUUAAGUAAAUUGCUCACCUGUAAGACAUUAUAUAGAGUUGGAAUACUAAAUUAGAAUAAUAGUGAGUAGGGAAACUAUUUGUCAAAAUUUAGACAUCUAAAGAUUCUACUACGCCCUAAAAAUAUAUUAUCUAUUAACAUAUAGAUCAUACAUCAAAUCAGUGAUGAAAUUAAUCAAAUAAUUCAUCACAAUUAAAAAAUUUUAAUUUACUAAAAAAAUUAAACAUCUCAUACCUGGUUAUAUAUGUGGCAGUGUAUGAAUCGUUGUGCUCGGGGUAAACCAUGUCGUUCAAUUUUGCCGCAUGCUCGAUUGUCGCCUCCGUACUUGCCGCGUCCAAUUUGAUCGCAGAAUCCACCUUCGCGCUUCUUUCUCUUCCUCUCGUUCUCCCUGUUUCUAGCAGAGCACAACUCCUCUCGCUCCCUCUCGCGCCAUGCCCUCGCUCUCUCUCGCGCCCUGCUCCCGCUCCCGCUCGAGCUCUCCUCUCUCUCUCGGUCGCUCGCUCGCUCACCUCUCUCUCUUUAGCUCGCUGCCUCGCUCGCUCGCCUCUUUCUCUCACGCUACCGCGCUCGCCUCUCUCUCUCUUUAGCACGCUGGCGCCAAAAUUUAGGGCAAAAGAGGGAAAACGUGAGGGGAUAAAAUGUGGGAGUGAGGCUAACACUGGUUUUUUUUUUUUUCAAACCAAGUUUAUAUCAGCCGUUAGAUCAAGAAGUUGUAGGAUCUACAACUCUAAAUGGGGUGCAUGGGUAGCACGACUCUUAUUUACUUCUGGCACCAUUUUCCGUCCAUAAACCCCCUCUCCCAUCGCCCACUCUCACUCUCUCUCUCUCUCUCUCUCUCUCUCUCCCUGUAGAGUUCGCCCUAGCCCUAGCCCUAGCCCUAGCCCUAGCACUCGCCCUCGACCUCGCUCUCGCUCUCGCCUGUCUCCCCGAUCCAAAUAGGUACGAUUAAUCCUUUUCCCCCCUCAUCAACCAAUUUGUGUUUAUUUUAGGUUGGAUUCAAAAGCUCUCUCCGUGGUCGCCGAACUCCGUGAACAGCGAAGAAACCCUAAUCUUGGACUCCGAUUCCCCUUCGAUCGGUAUUGUUUUUCCCCUUUUUUUUGAUGUUUUAUCUCACGAUUUAGCGUGAAGGUUUCGAUCACAAAAUUUGGGGAUUUUUCAGAUCAUAAUACUCGAUUUAGAUAGCCCUUCUGUGCAUAAUGCUUAAAAUGAAAAUGCAAAUGAUGAUGAUUACGAUUGAUUAUGAACCCUCCUAGUAAUAAACAGUUAAAGAAGAAUUCAUAUACAAGCGGAUUCGAUAUAGGAAUUAGAGUAGAGGGGCCGAUUCUACUAACGGCGAAAUGGGUACUAAACGGAAAGAAAGAACUGAUGAGACUCCUGAUCCGAUUUCGCUUUCGUACCCCGAUCCGGAAUUCUUCGACUUUGACGAAUGCAGGGAUCGGAGUUUAUUCGAAGUCGACCAGAUUUGGGCGCUAUAUGAUGAUCUCGACGGAAUGCCUAGGUUUUAUGCUCGAAUUAGGCACAUCUAUGAAAAUCAAGAUUUCAAGGUGGGCUUCACUUGGUUAGAGCACGAUCCUUCAAAUGCAGCUGAGAUGGCGUGGUCUCGUCAGCAAUUGCCUGUUGCUUGCGGGAGCUUCAGGCGAGGGAAAGCAGAAGUAAGUCAAGACCCUCUCAUGUUCUCCCACAUUAUUUCUUGGGAAAAAGGUAAAAAGAAGAACGGUUAUGAUAUUUAUCCGAAAGAGGGUGAAGUUUGGGCUGUUUACAAGGGCUGGGAUAUCGCGUGGAGCUCAGAUCCGGACGACGACAGGACAUUCGAGUAUGAAAUUGUUGAAGUCCUUUCGGAUUUUGUGGCGGGAAGCGGUAUCAAUGUCAUUCCUCUAGUUAAGGUAGAAGGUUUCGUGAGUCUGUUUGUGCGCGCAAAAGACAAAGCACCGUAUCGUAUACUAUCCAGUGAAAUACUUAGGUUUUCACACAGAGUCCCCUUUCACAGGAUGACCGGAGCUGAACGUGACGGUGUCCCACAAGGUUCUUUUGAACUAGAUACUGCAUCUCUUCCUAUUAACAUGGAAGAUGCUUUUCCAUCUGUUCCUCUUGAAUGCGGUACGACCAAAACCGGAAUAUCUCCUAAAAGUUCAACUAAUGAUGCAGGAGUUGGGCCUGCUGCCGUUAAGGAGAUUGAGAGGGUGAGGAGGAAGGAAUUUGACCAUUCUCAAUUAGCAACCACGUUCCAUUGCUCGGAUGAAUAUCCUGCCCCUGAGUUCUGCAACGUUGAUGACGGGAAAUUGAUCAAUAGGAUCCAGCCGGGGCAGAUUUGGGCGCNUUUUUUUUAACUGUAGUAGAUAUUUAACUCAUGUUUAACCCAAGUUAACUUAACAGGAGAUAAUUAUGAGGGUAUUUUGCAAUAACGGUGGAACAUAUGAGGGGUAUUUUAGAAAGAAAAAAAAAGUAGAAGUAAAUCGGAUAUUUUCAAACGUAUGAAAGGUAUAUAGGCAAUUAUUCCUAAUAUAAAACAACUACUAUUUAUUUCAUAAGUAAAAAAAAUAAAUUCACGAUUAAAGAAAAAUAAAUAAAGAUCCAUACACAUACCUUACAUUUUGCAUCCUAAUUAAAAACUUUAGAAGAAAAAAAAAUUACUAGCACCUAAGAAAGAUUGGAUUUGGCUUUUGAAAUGCUAAUCAAUAUAUUAAUUAGAUUCAAUAUGAUCGGAAAAGGGUAGAAAGGAAGAUUAUUUGGGAUAAUGGAGACUAGGAUUUUAUUUUUAUUAGAAUUUUUUAACUUUUUAUUAUUGCUAAGAAGAAAAAG
rnacentral:lncRNA from 1 species